rnacentral:tRNA from 1 species
GGGGUUGUGGCUCAAUGGUAGAGCACUUGCCUAGUAUGCGUGAGGCACUGGGUCUGAUCCUCAGCUCUA